rnacentral:rRNA from 1 species
GUAGGGGAGCAAACGUUGUCCGGAUUAUUGGGCGUAAAGGGCUCGUAGGCGGUUCAACAAGUCGGUCGUGAAAACCCGGGGGGCUCAACCCCGGGGACGCCGGUCGAAACUGUUGUGACUAGAGUUCGGUAGAGGUGAGUGGAAUUCUCGGUGUAGCGGUGGAAUGCGCAGAUAUCGAGAGGAACACCAUUAGCGAAGGCGGCUCACUGGGCCGAUACUGACGCUGAGGAGCGAAAGCGUGGGGAGCAAACAGGAUUAGAUACCCUGGUAGUCCACGCCGUAAACGAUGAACACUAGGUGUGGCGGACUGAUUCAUGUCGGCUGCGCCGUAGCUAACGCAUUAAGUGUUCCGCCUGGGGAGUACGGCCGCAAGGCUA